GGGGUCAGGGCGAGGGACUCUGGGUCACCUCCCACCCGUGUUUAUUUUACCUUGUUGCUUCGGCGGGCCCGCCUUAACUGGCCGCCGGGGGGCUUACGCCCCCGGGCCCGCGCCCGCCGAAGACACCCUCGAACUCUGUCUGAAGAUUGUAGUCUGAGUGAAAAUAUAAAUUAUUUAAAACUUUCAACAACGGAUCUCUUGGUUCCGGCAUCGAUGAAGAACGCAGCGAAAUGCGAUACGUAAUGUGAAUUGCAAAUUCAGUGAAUCAUCGAGUCUUUGAACGCACAUUGCGCCCCCUGGUAUUCCGGGGGGCAUGCCUGUCCGAGCGUCAUUUCUGCCCUCAAGCACGGCUUGUGUGUUGGGCCCCGUCCUCCGAUCCCGGGGGACGGGCCCGAAAGGCAGCGGCGGCACCGCGUCCGGUCCUCGAGCGUAUGGGGCUUUGUCACCCGCUCUGUAGGCCCGGCCGGCGCUUGCCGAUCAACCCAAAUUUUUAUCCAGGUUGACCUCGGAUCAGGUAGGGAUACCCGCUGAACUUAAGCAUAUCAAUAAGUCGGAGGAA
rnacentral:rRNA from 2 species